rnacentral:sRNA from 1 species
AUAAAUCGUUAGGUGAGGUUACUAUAUAGAUAUAUGCUACUGCCCAGAAAUGUCGAGAGACGCCAACGGGUUAGCAGGUAUUGUCGAUUUAAGGCUCUACUUAAUGUAGCUGACAGUUUUUAAAACUAUGUCAAAGCUAUUUAGUGCUAAAGCUCAACGAAUGAAG